rnacentral:sRNA from 1 species
CUUGGUCAUUUAGAGGAAGUAAAAGUCGUAACAAGGUUUCCGUAGGUGAACCUGCGGAAGGAUCACUAGUGAUUAAAUCGAGCGUGUCUUCAUUGACCGCUCACCCUUCUCACCAUCCACAUACACCUGUGCACUGUUUAGCCUGAGCCGUUUCGGUUCAGGUUAUCAUUUCAUACAAACUCUAGUCUUAUGAAUGUAAACGUUUUAAUAACAUAAUAAAACUUUCAACAACGGAUCUCUUGGUUCUCGCAUCGAUGAAGAACGCAGCGAAAUGCGAUAAGUAAUGUGAAUUGCAGAAUUCAGUGAAUCAUCGAAUCUUUGAACGCACCUUGCGCCCCUUGGUAUUCCAUGGGGCAUGCCUGUUCGAGCGUCAUUUUGUACCCUCAAGCACUGCUUGGUGUUGGGCGUUUGUCCUGCAGAGGACUCGCCUGAAAGCGAUUGGCGGCCAACGUAGUCGUGGCAGAGCGCAGCACAAUCUUGCGUCUCUCCCCUCUGCGUCGGCGUCCAUGAAGCCUACAAUCUCAACGUUUGACCUCGGAUCAGGUAGGGAUACCCGCUGAACUUAAGCAUAUCAAUAAGCGGAGGAAAAGAAACCAACAGGGAUUGCCCUAGUAACGGCGAGUGAAGCGGCAUCAGCUCAAAUUUGAAAUCUGGCUCUUUCAGAGUCCGAGUUGUAAUUUGCAGAGGGCGCUUUGGUGUCGGCAGCGGUCCAAGUUCCUUGGAACAGGACGUCACAGAGGGUGAGAAUCCCGUACGUGGUCGCUGACCUACACCGUGUAAAGCCCCUUCGACGAGUCGAGUUGUUUGGGAAU